rnacentral:lncRNA from 1 species
GAGUUCUCCAGAGAAUUCUGGAACCUCCUGGAGCAGUCUAGGCAAUUCUCCCAGUUUCUAGACAAAAAGACCAAGUGGCAGCCUCUGAUUGGUCCAGCUGAUCCAACGGCCAGGAAUUUUUCUUAUUUUCUUGAAUUAUCUCAGCCAUUAGAUGAGGAGGUGGGGGAACACUAUAAAUACCCCCUCCCCCUGCUUGAUUUGUACAGAUUGUGAAAGUGAAUUGUGAGUGAGUGUGUACUGUAAAGAGUGCUCUUGUAAUUCUUUCUUAUAGCAAUACAAAGCAAGCUUCCCUUUUCAAUCUUCUGUAAUCACUCUACUUCCUUCUUUGCUUGUUACUUGUUUUCAUUGGCCAAUUGCUUCCAAGGGUGCCAUAGCACUCUGCUGAGUUCAACCUCCUAUAGGUGAACUGCUGCUGGUGAGAAGGCUGACUUAGCCCAGAAGAGUGGUCUAAGUGCCGCACGUGGCCUUGGAGAGACGAAAUCAUUGGGUCUUCUAGCAAGGAACGUGACAAGUGGUAUCAGAGCUGUUGGAAGAAGGCAUGGCAGAUCCAGUUGAGCAAUCUGUCCAUGGUGGCCAAGCUGGUGGCGAGGAGUAGCCUACUGUGGUGUCUCAGCCUGCUGGACGCAAGAAGGGGACCAGAGGUAAGUCUCGUGAACCCUCUCGCACUGUUAGUGAGUUGGGGGAUGUGGAGACUAGGCUGGCCAAGGUAGAGCUGAAGCUCAUGGAUGGCGAGGAGAAGUUCGAGGAAAUAGACUUGCACUUGGAAGAACUCACAACGGCUGCUGAUGAGUUUUGGGAGGAGGUGCAAACUGCCUUGAACGGUGCCAUCGAUAGGCUGGCUAGUGAUAAUGAGACAACCCACCACAGCCUGGGUGAGGAAAUUGCCACGCUGAAGGAAGAAAAUCGGUUCUUACGGAAAGAACUGGAUAGAGUGCUGGGCAGAGUAAGGGAAGUAGUGGACGAGCUAGCAUUGUUGAAGAGAGCCGUGGCACAAGGCAGCGUUGCUAGCCCGUCCAUGUCCGUGGGGAUGGCAGCCACUCCACAGCGGAUGGAGGUGCCAAAACCUGCCCCUUUCAAAGGCUCCAGGAAUGUCAAGGAGAUAGAUAACUUCUUGUGGAGCAUGGAGCAAUUCUUUAGAGCCAUGGGGAUCACUGAUGAAGGUGUUAAGGUGGACAGUGCAUCCCUAUAUUUGGCCGACACUGCCAUGGUAUGGUGGAGGAGGUGUUAUGCUGACAUAGAGAAAGGCCUUUGCACAAUCGCUACUUGGAGUGAUUUCAAGAGAGAGCUAAAGAAGCAAUUUUAUCCGGAGAAUGCUGCCUCGGAGGCGAGAGCCAAGCUGCGUAGGCUGACACAACGGGGGAGUAUUCGGGACUAUGUCAAGAAAUUCUCCGAGGUAAUUCUUGAGAUCCCUGACUACCCUGAUAAUGAAGCCUUGUUUGCUUUCUUGGAUGGCUUGCAGCAUUGGGCCAAGCUAGAAGUCCAGAGAAGGGGUGCUCAAGACUUGGCCACAGCAAUUGCCAUUGCUGAGUCCUUGGUGCAAUUUAGAAAGCAGCCCGAUAAAGGCAAGACCAAGAUUACCAAGGGCAAGGGACCUGCUGAAGCCAACCCCAAGCCCAGUGACAGCCAAAAGAGUGGCAAAAAGAAGGAGAAUACUUUUAAAUUCAAGAAGCCUGAAUAUUUCUCCAAUAAGAAUGCAGCUGCCCGGUUGCCUAUGAAAUGCUUCCUUUGUGAAGGCCCUCACCGUGCUAGAGACUGUCCAAAGAGAAAUAAGCUCUCUGCUAUGGUGGAUGACAAAGAAGGCAGCACCAAAAAGCCUGAUGAGGCAAGCAUGGGAUCACUCCAACUGGCAGCGAUAAGCAAGCAGGAGCCGCUUAAGGAAAGGAAGGGCCAGCUCUAUGUCAACAUGACAAUAGGGGACAACAAGGUGUGCGCCUUGGUUGACACUGGUGCUUCCAACAAUUUUCUUAGGCUGGAGGAUGCAAAUCGGAUGGGAGUGAGUUAUGAACCCACUCUGGCAUGGCUGAAGGCAGUCAACUCCAAGCCCAACAUGGUCCAUGGUGUGGCAAGAGAUGUGAAGGUACAAAUAGGUGAGUGGCUUGAAACUCUUGACUUCACAAUUGUAAUUAUGGAUUAUUAUCCUUGUGUUUUGGGGAUGGAAUUCAUGGACAAGGUGAAGGCAAUCCCCAUCCCCUUUGCUGACUCAAUGUGCAUCAUGGAAAAUGGGAACAUUUGCACUGUAACGACCCCAAAAUGGACCGUCACCGGCGCUAGGAUUCAGGUCGGCUUAAGGCCGCCAGAAAAUCAAAUCUUUGCAUGAUGAAAUGAAAACAUGAAGAAAUACUCACAAAAGACAGAGUUUCACCUCAGCAAGUAAAAGAAACGGUGCUCUACCGCUUCAACCGACUGAGGGCCAUUUAUAGGUGGCUGGCCAGACCACCUUCGGCGGCCACACGUGAAACCGAAAGCCAUGCAUGUUCGGCGGCCGAACCUCAACUUCGGCGGCCGAACCUGGCUUUUCUGCCUUGGUUCAUUUCACUCAAAAAAACUCAUUUCCUUAUGUUUUAACACUAUAAAACAUACCAAAACAUGUUAGAAAAACAUCACUCUAACCCUUCUAGAGACUUCCGACAUCCUGGACUCUACCGGAAAGUAGAAUUCCGAUGCCGGACUCUAGCCGGGUAUUACAUGCACCAUUCCCCUAGCACGGGGAAAGUCUAGCCAUAGCCAGUCUCUUUCGGCUAUGCAACUUAGUAAGGGAGUCAGGAGGAAGGAGCCAACCUAUCUUGUCUCCUUGAAGGAGGCGAACAAGGAAGUAAGGAUUGAUGCCAUACCUGUGGAGGUGCUGGAUGUCUUGGAAGAGUCCAAGGAACUGAUGCCACCAGAAUUACCUAAGAAACUACCACCAAGAAGAGAGGUGGAUCAUGCUAUUGAGUUGGAGCCUGGUGCCAAACCACCCUCGGGUGUGCCUUAUAGGCUUGCACCCCCAGAAUUGGAAGAGCUGAGGAGGAGCUUAAGGAGCUUCUGGAAGCUGGUUUCGUCCAACCGUCCAAAUCGCCCUAUGGAGCUCCUGUCCUAUUUCAGAAGAAGAAAGACGGCUCACUGCGAAUGUGUGUGGACUAUCGGGCUCUAAAUAAAAUCACUGUGAAGAAUAAGUACCCAAUCCCAUUGCCUGCGGACCUUUUUGAUAGGCUUGGUGGUGCCCGCUGGUUCACCAAGCUGGACUUGAGAUCGGGUUAUUGGCAGGUUCGCAUAGCCGAGGGAGAUGAACACAAGACGGCUUGUGUAACGAGGUAUGGAUCCUAUGAGUUUCUUGUGAUGCCUUUUGGCCUCACUAAUGCACCUGCCACAUUCUGCACUCUCAUGAAUAAAGUGCUCUACCCCUUCCUUGAUAAAUUUGUAGUAGUGUACUUGGAUGAUAUUGUUAUCUAUAACAAUACACUACAAGAGCAUGUUAAGCAUUUGAGGCAGGUCUUCAAGGUGUUGAAAGAAAAUGAAUUGUAUGUCAAGAAGGAGAAGUGCCUCUUUGCACAAAAGGAGAUACCCUUCCUUGGCCACAUAGUGGGAGAAGGCAAGGUAAGGAUGGAUCGAAGUAAAAUCAAAGCCAUUAAUGAAUGGCAGCCUCCAAAGAAAGUAACGGAGCUACGAUCCUUCCUCGGACUAGCCAACUAUUAUCGGAGAUUCAUUAAAGGCUACUCUUCCAUUGCUGCCCCACUAACUGAUCUACUGAAGAAGAACAACCAGUGGGAUUGGGAUGAUAGGUGUCAAAGGGCUUUUGAAGCACUGAAGCAUGCCAUGGUGGAAGAACCAGUGCUUGCCCUGCCCGAUUUCUCCAAACCAUUCGAAGUCCAAAUUGAUGCCUCUGACUAUGCCAUAGGCGGGGUGCUAAUGCAAGAAGACCACCCAGUUGCGUAUGAAAGCCGGAAGCUAAACGACACCGAGAGGCGCUAUACGGUCCAAGAAAAAGAAAUGACCGAUGUAGUGCACUGCUUAAGGACGUGGAGGCAUUAUCUUCUGGGAUCUAAAUUUGUGGUGAGGACAGACAAUGUAGCUACCAGCUAUUUUCUGACCCAGAAGAAGCUGACACCAAAGCAAGCCCGAUGGCAAGCCUUUCUGGGAGAGUUCGACUUCACGAUGGAGUACAAGCCAGGCCGUGCGAAUCUUGUGGCUGAUGCUCUAUCCAGGAAGGCGGAACUGGCAGCCACAAGCGUGCCUACAUUACCGCUGGAGGAGCGGAUAAAAGAGGGCAUGAAGCAUGAUAAGUACUCGCAGGAGUUGCUGGAUUGGGCUCGGCUUGGCAGGGUGCGAAGUAUGUCAUUGAUGGGGAGCUGCUUAAGACAGAAUCAGGCUGUCUAUAUGUUCCUGACUGGGGAGACUUGCGCAAGGAUAUCAUUAGAGAGUGUCAUGACUCUCUAUGGGCUGGACACCCUGGUAUAAACCGCACCAGGGCAUUGGUGGAGCGAGCCUACUCUUGGCCUCGGCUGAAGCAUGAUGUGGAGGCCUAUGUGAGAACUUGUCUGGUGUGCCAGCAAGACAAGGGCGAGCAGAGGAAGCCCGCUGGACUGCUGGAGCCCCUGCCCAUUCCAGAAAAGCCGUGGGAGUCAAUUUCCAUGGACUUCAUUGUAGGGCUCCCUAAGGUGGAGGGAUGUGGAAAUAUUAUGGUGGUUGUGGACAGGUUUAGCAAGUAUGCCACCUUUAUCCCUGUCCCUGAUAAGUUUAAUGCUGAAGAUGCUGCCCGGUUGUUCUUUAAACAUGUUGUAAAGUAUUGGGGCAUACCUCGGUCGAUUGUGAGUGACCGUGACAUACGGUUCACAGGGAAAUUUUGGACCGAGUUGUUCAAACUACUGGGCACGGAGCUGAACUUUUCCACCUCUUUCCAUCCACAAACCGACGGGCAGACGGAAAGAGUCAAUGCCCUGCUGGAGAUGUAUUUGAGGCACUUUGUUAGUGCCAAUCAGAAGGGCUGGGUGCAGCUCCUUGAUGUAGCUCAAUUCUCCUAUAAUCUGCAAAAAUCUGAAGCCACUGGAGCUAGCCCGUUCGAAAUUGCCACGGGGAGACAACCUCUCACCCCUCACACAGUUGCCACAAGCUAUGGAGGGAGGAGCCCAGGUGCAUACAAGAUGGCUAAGGGAUGGCAGGAGAAAAGAGAAAUUGCUAAAGAAUACCUUAGCAAGGCAUCGAAGAAGAUGAAGAAAUGGGCUGAUGCAUCAAAGAGGCAUGUGGAGUUUAAGGAGGGAGACCUGGUGAUGGUCAAACUCCUUCCCCCUUUGCUGAGGAAUUAUGGGAAAGUCCAUAAAGGUCUUCUUCGGAGGUACGAGGGCCCCUUCCCAAUUGAAAAACGGGUUGGAAAUGUGGCAUAUCGAGUAAAAUUGCCUGAACAUAUUGAAGCUCAUCUUGUGUUCCAUGUGAGCAUGCUGAAACCUUUCCAUAAGGAUGAGGGUGAGCCGAGUAGAGGGGUAUCUCACCGGGCACCAGCUGCUGUUGGCAAGAGCUAUGCUAACCAAGUGAAGGAAAUUGUGUCUCAUCGGGUAGUGCCAAGGAGAGCCAACCAUCCAAGCUACAAGGAGUACUUGGUACGAUGGAAGGGCCUGUCCGAUACCGAAGCAACUUGGGAGCAUGAGCUCAACUUAUGGGAGAACGAGGAUGAGGUGCUAGCCUACUGGCAAGGGGCGACGAGGGCGUCGCCACAUUAGCUGGAGGAGAAUGUUACUGACCCAAAGAGCUCCCCCAAGUCCAACAGGCUGAAUGGGCCAACUAGCCAUCAUCAGGGGCGAUAUAUGCUGGAAAUUGGCUGGUGAAGCCUUGACGGGCUGAGUUGCCAAAAUCGGAUGUGGGUUGCCCAACUCGGAUUGGCCAGUAGGCCUACGGAUGGAUUGGCUGGCAGGGUGGAAGGCCUGCUAGGCGGAACUGAUAGGCGGGUGAAAAAUCUGCUGGGCAAAAUUAGCCAGCAGUAGCUGGCCUGGCAACAGGCAGCUCGGAUGCCCCAUAGGCCUACCAAGGAUAAACCGGCUUAACCCGUAGGCCAACCGUGAACGAGUUGGGAAGACUCGUAGGCCAAUCACGGAAAAGCUUGGGAAAGCCGUAGGCCUACCAAAGAGGGAGACUGCAUGACCUGUAGGCCUGCCAAGGGAGAACUUAGAUGCUUGGCAGAGCUGGUUGCCGCAGGAAGGCACAACUCGCGGAGUUGGCUUGGGCAGAAGGAUUGCUGGCCCGUGGAAUCUCGGCAAGGCAGGCAGACCUCCCCAGUUGGCCAACGAGCGCCAGACUGCAUGGCUGGCCAGCGAACGUGGCAGGAACGGCAGCCCACAGGCCUGUGACCUCACUGAGCGCUCAAGGUACGGGGGAAAGAUGCGCAGACCAUGUCCCAACACGCCCUACACCCCUGGCAGGCCAACCAGGAGAAAAUGGCAGAAGCUUGGAGAGUUCUCCAGAGAAUUCUGGAACCUCCUGGAGCAGUCUAGGCAAUUCUCCCAGUUUCUAGACAGAAAGACCAAGUGGCAGCCUCUUAUUGGUCCAGCUGAUCCAACGGUCAAGAAUUUUUCUUAUUUUCUUGAAUUAUCUCAGCCAUUAGAUGAGGAGGUGGGGGAACACUAUAAAUACCCCCUCCCCCUGCUUGAUUUGUACAGAUUGUGAAAGUGAAUUGUGAGUGAGUGUGUACUGUAAAGAGUGCUCUUGUAAUUCUCUUCUUAUAGCAAUACAAAGCAAGCUUCCCUUUUCAAUCUUCAGCAAUCACUUUACUUCCUUUUUUGCUUGUUACUUGUUUUCAUUGGCCAAUUGCUUCCAAGGGUGCUGAGCACUCUGCUGAAUUCAACCUCCUAUAGGUGAACUGCUGCUGAUGAGAAGGCUGACUUAGCCCAGAAGAGUGGUCUAAGUGCCGCACGUGGCCUUGGAGAGACGAAAUCAUUGGGUCUUCUAGCAAGGAACGUGACACAUGUCACUACGCCCACCGCUGAGUUGCUCCCGUUCUUUAAGAGCUAUGCUACCCAGACUACAAGCCCAUUGUUCCAUGGAUCUAUGCUUUAAUCUACAGCCUUGAAUCCUUUUACAACCCUUUGGUUUCCUGGGUUGUUAUUACUAAAACUGCUCUUCAUGAUUUGCUUCUUUAUGCCUCCUCUGUGAUGUUCUCCUUUACUGGAUAUAAAACCGUGUCCCCCACGCCGAUGCUUCAGGUGUUGUUGGAGGCCAUAUAUCUGCAGGCCGAUCUUUUAUGAAUAAAUUCUCGUCCGUGUGGG